CCUACGGGAGGCAGCAGUGAGGAAUAUUGGUCAAUGGGCGCGAGCCUGAACCAGCCAAGUCGCGUGAAGGAUGACUGCCCUACGGGUUGUAAACCUCUUUUAUCAAGGAAUAAAGGGAGGCACGUGUGCCUUUUUGCGUGUACCUUAUGAAUAAGCAUCGGCUAACUCCGUGCCAGCAGCCGCGGUAAUACGGAGGAUGCGAGCGUUAUCCGGAUUUAUUGGGUUUAAAGGGUGCGUAGGCGGGCUGUCAAGUCAGCGGUAAAAUUUCGGGGCUCAACCCCGUCCUGCCGUUGACACUGGGGUCCUUGAGUGGGCGAGAAGAAGGCGGAAUGCGUGGUGUAGCGGUGAAAUGCAUAGAUAUCACGCAGAACCCCGAUUGCGAAGGCAGCCUUCCGGCGCCCUACUGACGCUGAGGCACGAAAGUGCGGGGAUCGAACAGGAUUAGAUACCCGUGUAGUC
rnacentral:rRNA from 1 species